rnacentral:rRNA from 1 species
ACUCCUGCGGGAGGCAGCAGUGGGGAAUUUUGGACAAUGGGGGCAACCCUGAUCCAGCAAUGCCGCGUGAGUGAAGAAGGCCUUCGGGUUGUAAAGCUCUUUUGUCAGGGAAGAAACGGUGGUGGCGAAUAACUACUACUAAUGACGGUACCUGAAGAAUAAGCACCGGCUAACUACGUGCCAGCAGCCGCGGUAAUACGUAGGGUGCAAGCGUUAAUCGGAAUUACUGGGCGUAAAGCGUGCGCAGGCGGUUGUGUAAGUCAGAUGUGAAAUCCCCGGGCUCAACCUGGGAAUUGCAUUUGAGACUGCACGGCUAGAGUGUGUCAGAGGGGGGUAGAAUUCCACGUGUAGCAGUGAAAUGCGUAGAUAUGUGGAGGAAUACCGAUGGCGAAGGCAGCCCCCUGGGAUAACACUGACGCUCAUGCACGAAAGCGUGGGGAGCAAACAGGAUUAGAUACCCCGGUAGUCCCAUGA